rnacentral:rRNA from 1 species
CACCGCGGUUAUACGAGGGGCCCAAGUUGAUAUAUGCGGCGUAAAGAGUGGUUAUGGAUAAUAUAAUUUACUAAAGCUAAAGACCCCCUAGGCUGUUAUACGCACCUGGCGGCUCGAACCCCUAAUACGAAAGUAGCUUUAACCCCCUCCAGAACCCACGACAGCUGGGAAA